rnacentral:rRNA from 1 species
CAGUCGCCACGGUAAUACGAAGGGGGCUAGCGUUGUUCGGAUUUACUGGGCGUAAAGCGCACGUAGGCGGAUCGAUCAGUCAGGGGUGAAAUCCCAGAGCUCAACUCUGGAACUGCCUUUGAUACUGUCGAUCUGGAGUAUGGAAGAGGUGAGUGGAAUUCCGAGUGUAGAGGUGAAAUUCGUAGAUAUUCGGAAGAACACCAGUGGCGAAGGCGGCUCACUGGCUCAUUCUAGACGCUGAGGUGCGAAAGCGUGGGGAGCAAACAGGAUUAGAUACCCGUGUAGUCCCUGUCUCUUAUAC